UUAGCUCAGCUGGGAGAGCAUCUGCCUUACAAGCAGAGGGUCACAGGUUCGAGCCCUGUAGGUCCCA
rnacentral:tRNA from 2 species